UCCCCACACAAGCCCCCCUUCUCACCUGUCUUAUCUGCUGAGUUCCCACAAGCCACAUCAUUCGAAAAUAGGAUCGCCUUACUUUAAAAACACCACUGGCGAAAAGCACUGAUCUAUGAGCGCUUCUUCACAGGGGCCCUGUUGGCCUUUGGGGCAGAACAAGUCCUGGUCCCACAGGGCUGGACUGGAUGAGGCAUGCUUGGUCCCUGCCCAGUAAACGCUAGCAGCAGCCCCCAGUGGUCCUGAUGACCAAAUGAGGUGCAGGGAGUGGGGGGCAGGGGCUGGCCUAUCCAUCCAACUGAGAAGCACUUCUCCAACAACUGAGAGUCAAGACGUGGAGCAACCAGCCUAAAGCCAUGGCACAGCAGACCACUCACCCUGGGCUUUUUGCUGAGCACUCAGCAGCAGUUGCUGUGAAGACAGGUAUCCCAGCAGGGGAACGCUGAGACUGCAAAAGGUUCCUCCAUCAGCUGGGGGAAACGUGUGCCUGGACAGACAGCAGACGCUCCCGGAUGGACAGAUGUCCAGCAUGCCAAGUGUUUCGCCCAGCUGCCCUGGCCCUGGAGCAGGCUCAUCAAGAAGGGAGACCCUGUCAGAGCACAGCCCCCUUCUUUCUCUGGCACCAGGGCCAAAGUAAUCCGCCGGCCUGGCCACAGAGGGAGAGC
ensembl:lncRNA